rnacentral:rRNA from 1 species
UACGGAGGGUGCGAGCGUUGUCCGGAAUCAUUGGGCGUAAAGGGCGCGUAGGUGGCCCGGUCAGUUCGUGGUGAAAGCGCGGGGCUCAACCCUGCGUCGGCCAUGAAUACUGCCGCGGCUGGAGCACUGUAGAGGCAGGCGGAAUUCCGGGUGUAGCGGUGGAAUGCGUAGAGAGUCCGGAAGAACACCGGUGGCGAAGGCGGCCUGCUGGGCAGUGCUGGACACUGAGGCGC